rnacentral:rRNA from 1 species
CUACGGGGCGCUGCAGUGGGGAAUAUUGCACAAUGGAGGAAACUCUGAUGCAGCAACGCCGCGUGGAGGAUGACACUUUUCGGAGCGUAAACUCCUUUUAUAUAGGAAGAAGAUGACGGUACUAUAUGAAUAAGCGCCGGCUAACUCCGUGCCAGCAUCCGCGGUAAUACGGAGGGCGCACGCGUUACUCGGAAUCACUGGGCGUAAAGAGCGUGUAGGCGGAUUAAAAAGUCAGAAGUGAAAUCCUAUAGCUUAACUAUAGAACUGCUUCUGAAACUCUUAAUCUAGAAUAUGGGAGAGGUAGAUGGAAUUUCUGGUGUAGGGGUAAAAUCCGUAGAGAUCAGAAGGAAUACCGAUUGCGAAGGCGAUCUACUAGAACAUUAUUGACGCUGAGACGCGAAAGCGUGGGGAGCAAACAGGAUUAGAUACCCGUGUAGUC